AACGCUGGCGGUAGGCUUAACACAUGCAAGUCGUGCGAGAAAGUAUCUUCGGAUAUGAGUAGAGCGGCGGACGGGUGAGUAACGCGUAGGAAUCUACCUAGUAGAAGGGGAUAGCCCGAGGAAACUCGGAUUAAUACCGUAUACCUCCUUCGGGAGAAAGAAGGCCUCUCAUUGAAGCUUUCGCUACUAGAUGAGCCUGCGUAAGAUUAGCUUGUUGGUGAGGUAAAGGCUCACCAAGGCAACGAUCUUUAGCGGGUCUGAGAGGACGAUCCGCCACAUUGGGACUGAGACACGGCCCAGACUCCUACGGGAGGCAGCAGUGGGGAAUAUUGGACAAUGGGCGCAAGCCUGAUCCAGCCAUACCGCGUGUGUGAAGAAGGCCCUAGGGUUGUAAAGCACUUUAAGUUGGGAAGAAAAGUUAUUGGCUAAUACCCAAUGACCGUGACAUUACCUUCAGAAUAAGGACCGGCUAAUUCCGUGCCAGCAGCCGCGGUAAUACGGAAGGUCCAAGCGUUAAUCGGAAUUACUGGGCGUAAAGCGCGCGUAGGUGGUUUAUUAAGUUGGAUGUGAAAUCCCCGGGCUCAACCUGGGAACUGCAUCCAAAACUGAUUCACUAGAGUACGAUAGAGGGAGGUAGAAUUCACAGUGUAGCGGUGGAAUGCGUAGAUAUUGUGAAGAAUACCAAUGGCGAAGGCAGCCUCCUGGAUCUGUACUGACACUGAGGUGCGAAAGCGUGGGUAGCGAACAGGAUUAGAUACCCUGGUAGUCCACGCCGUAAACGAUGUCAACUAGCUGUUGGGGAACUAUGUUCUUCAGUGGCGCAGCUAACGUAGUAAGUUGACCGCCUGGGGAGUACGGCCGCAAGGCUAAAACUCAAAUGAAUUGACGGGGACCCGCACAAGCGGUGGAGCAUGUGGUUUAAUUCGAUGCAACGCGAAAAACCUUACCUAUACUUGACAUACUUGGAAUGCUUUGUAAUGAAGCAGUGCCUUCGGGAGCCAAGAUACAGGUGCUGCAUGGCUGUCGUCAGCUCGUGUC
rnacentral:rRNA from 1 species